CGUGGUGUUUGUGACUCUAUUCUUCCAUUCCAAUGCGUGCCAGGGUGACUGGGUGCGUGUGUGGAAAACCGCGUGAGCGCGUCCGCACACACACGCGCACGCUGGGAUGCUGAUAGCUGAGCGGCUCAUCGAAAUCAUCAGGGCAUGAACGGGCUUAGCAAGCUGUCGAAGGGCAUCGGACGCCCGAUAAUGGGAACGUGAGAUCGCAAGGACGGUGGUCGUGGUCGUGGUGGUGGUGUUUGGCGUGCUAUCAGCGUGCAGACACGACAGCAAGAUAGAUAGGCUAUAUCUUGGAAACAUCUUCCUCCCACAUGCAUCCUUAUCUUAAUGUAUUCUGAUAGUAUUGAAGAGAGGUACAGUGGCGGGCAUUAGAAUAAGAUUGUAUUUUUUUUGCUAUCUUGUCUUUAUCUUAUCUUUAUCUUACAAAAUUGUUGUUAUUUUUUUAACUAAUUUAUUCAAAGAUCUUAGGAAAUCGACGAAAUCAUUUUCUAAAAUAUUUUUCAUUAUAAUUUUUUUCAUGGAUGAAUUUAAUCAAAACGAUGUUAAACUAGAAGACUAACCAAAUUUCACAAAUCAUUAUUAGGAGUUCACAAUAUAUUCUAAUCUCUAAUUACUAUCUCAAAUAGUAAUAGCAUUUCUAAUUCUUUCAUUCCUUUAUUUUUAUGGAUUUGAUUUCUAAACCGAACUUAAAUAAACGUAAAAAGGAUAGCAUAUUUUAAUUUCAAACGAUCUUAAUUAAUUAGAGUGAAAUGCCAAGAUGAAUGCCAAGGAAAAUGUAAGAAACUCAACACAAUCAUUUUUAUUUUCACAUUCAUAAAUUGAUAUUUAUAUUAUGUUUAAGUUGUGUGGAAAAUUAAUUGUAGCAAAUUGUGAUUUUGCAUGCUGAAUAGAAUAUUUCAACGAUUUUUUUUACUUUUUUAUAUCGUGUCAUAUUAUAGCAUAUCUGGUGGCGGUGAAGGCGAUUGACUUAUUAUUUUUUCAAGGCAACCGUUUGCCCUGGGAUAAGUAAGCAAUCAGUCAGUGAGUUAGAAACGAGAUAGAUAAAAAAAUAAGGUUAAGAUAAUUUUUUGGUUUAAUUAAAUGAACUGUGUUAUUCUUCUUCUAUGGCUCUGACACCUCGGCAGGUCUCGGAGGGUCUGCCAUUUCUGGCCCUCCAUGUCUUAAUUUUAUCCUUCACUGGAUGGUCAGAGGCACUCACUUUUCUCCACUUUGUUACCCAAGAAGGUGACUUAUUUCCUUUUUUUGUUAUUUUAGAAGAAAAAUUCCAAAUUUUAAAACGGCUUCCCAAAAUUGCGGCGCUCUAUAAUUUUGAAGGUAUGAUGGUGCGCUUCGAGCAUGCAAUUGUCACAGAAUGUGAUAUUUUUCAUAUGCGAGGUAUCAAGUCUUUAUGUUUUGUACUUUUUAACAUUGACAACCAGGGUAUUAUCAAAAUACAAUAAAUAAAGGCCUUUUAUAACAUUUUUAGGCAUCUUCAUGUGUAGUGUAGUAAUUUUCUCUCAAAGCUUCAGUUUUCUGCUGCUACUCUUUUAUUUUAUAAUUUUAAAACAAUAACAAAAUCGCCAUAAAAACAUAAGAUAUUUUUUUCCAAUAGCUUUUCGGAAGUAUUGAAAGCAUUAAGCAGAAAGACAUAUAUGAUGAAGAUCGUAUUAUAGUAUCAGACACUGUCGCAAAGAGCUUUCAGAUUUCUGCCGAGAGGCUAUCGUGAUAAGAAAACAAUAAUUAACUUAAGUAUCGUAUAAUAACUAAUUCAAAAAACAGUUCUUUCCACUGUUUCAGCUAUUAUCAGUCAUUUAGAAUAAGUAGAAAAAAUCACACCGAAAAGAUUAAUCAUCCAAUGACAAGUAAGACCAAUUCUAUGCACACCAAUUCUACGUUAAAACUCGUUUUCUUAUAUUUGGCUUUCUCCUUCAGGUCAAUCUGUUCAAACAAGCCCUGGCGGCACCAUCACUGGCGUAACGCGCGAUAAGAUAGCAUUUACGCCAAAGACAUUGAUGCUUCAAAAAUGUGUCACUAACUGCAUACAAAUGUGCCACUGAUACGCUACGCUUCAUUUGAUCAUAAAGCAUGCAUUCGAGCGUACCGCUUAACGUUUACAGAAGAAUGUUGUGCUGUAAAGUGCUGUCCAGCGAGGGGAAUUUUCUGGUGUGAAAUUGUUCACCAAUAUGUCAUGCAGGCCAGAACACGUGCUACACGUGCUGGGCGCAACUACUUGAUAAGUGGCUAAUAAUUGGUCAUUUCGGAACAAUUAAAGUGCUUCCGCGCUUUAACAGUGAAAAAUCAGUGAUCCGAUGAUCGAUUGGACAGUUUGGCUACUUUUUGUUUAACAUUGAAUGUCUUGCUAGACAGUUUUAAUGGAUGUGGCGUUAGCAUUUCAGACAGGCUGAAUAAAUAAAAUCGUCGCCAACAGUAGAACAGACGAUUUGUGGACUGUCUAACGCCUUCGCAGGAACGAACGGUCGUUUACAGUGAAUGACAAAUACAAAGUUGAGUCAUCUUAAGAGUAGCAGCACGAGUUUCUUUUUAAAUUAAUGUCAAUCAAUUCAAUCAUUGUUUCGUAGCUCAACCAAUCUCGGAUCGCUCUUCACAAUGUUGACUGCUCUGGUGGGGUUUCACUUUAAGACUAAUUACAAUAUAUUCAGGUACUUCAUACAUUUACUGCUUACCAAUACUAAUAUGCCCUAACUGCUAUAAAAUAUUCUAAUUCAUUGCAAAACAUGGGUUCUUAUUGCUUACUCAUAGGCGCAUUCCCAAACAAUCAUUAUUGAGAUAAAGUUGUACCAAUUUCUUCUUCUAAAGAAGUUAUGAUUUUGAUUGAGAAGAGCUGUGCUGAUUGAGGUAAAUUUGAUAGCUUAAUCAAUAGCUUAAAGUGAUAGAGAGGAAACAAUCAAACAGCAUGUAAAAUGAAUUUGUAUUGCCAAAAUUAAGCUUUAACACAUUCAGAAGCACACAAGUGGUACAAAGCAAAUAUGAUGCAAUGUUAGGUUUCGUGUUAAAGCCACACUUAAGGGCUUAUUGGAAUAGAACAUCCUGGUGAUUUCGACUAGGAACCAAGUGAACAUUUGUACCGUUUGCCUACGUUGAUUAAUUGAUGGUGUUCAUUUCAGUACAGGAUCUGGUUGUAACAUGAAUUCUGAGAAGUAAUUAUUAAAAAUAACACAUAAUAUGUAUGAACCCGCAAUAAACAACAACAACAACAACAACAACAAACAUGUAUUUAAUGUACUGUACAACUAGCCUGUCAAAUUAUGUUCCAUCAAAUGAAUUAACAUCAACUCUAUUAGUUGAUCUUUUAUUUAUUUCAUUUUAUUAGUUGUAAAUGUUUGCGCUUAUUAUUAAGCAUAGUAUAUUUUUUAAAUUUGUAUUAAAAGUUGUAAUAGUCGAAACCUUCACAUGCAUAGGUUAACUGGUGAAAUGAAGUGUUAUGAAAUAACUGUUAGAAUAUGUUGUUAAUAUUUUUGCUUUUUUAGGUAUGACAUACAGUAUCCUGAAUUUAAAUGUAAAAAAAUGGACAAUAUUUUAAGACCACCAAAUUUUGUAGAAUCAUUAUAAUGAGGUAAUGACGGCGAUUUACAACGAAUUAAAUUAUUCUUUUUAAAAAUUUGAUAAAAAAACACUUUAUUAUAUGAAAAAGGAAAAAGAUCCUAUCGUUGGAUCCAUCAAGAGAUUGGUGGUCAUGCCUGUCAAUAGUAGACUUAAUGAUACCAAGUAGUUGGAAAGUCC